GACGAACGCUGGCGGCGUGCCUAACACAUGCAAGUCGAGCGGGGAUUCGCCUUCGGGUGGAUUCUAGCGGCGGACGGGUGAGUAACGCGUGAGCAAUCUGGCCCUCAGAGGGGGAUAACACAUUGAAAGAUGUGCUAAUACCGCAUGAGACCACAAGGCCACAUGGCCAAGGGGUCAAAGGAGCAAUUCGCUGAGGGGUGAGCUCGCGUCUGAUUAGCUAGUUGGUGGGGUAACGGCCUACCAAGGCGACGAUCAGUAGCCGACCUGAGAGGGUGAUCGGCCACACUGGAACUGAGAAACGGUCCAGACUCCUACGGGAGGCAGCAGUGGGGAAUAUUGGGCAAUGGGGGAAACCCUGACCCAGCAACGCCGCGUGAGGGAAGAAGGCCUUCGGGUCGUAAACCUUUGUCCUAUGUGAAGAGCAAGAGACGGUAGCAUAGGAGGAAGCCCCGGCUAACUACGUGCCAGCCGCCGCAGUAACAC
rnacentral:rRNA from 1 species